rnacentral:lncRNA from 1 species
AUAUUUGUGUGGUAUUUCAAUGAUUCUUACAACUUUAGUUAUACAACAGCUCCUGUAUGCAGAGAUCACAUUUUUGUAUCCUAUAUGAUUGAUAAGGAAUAAAUAGUUUAUUUUUUCAUCUUGUAACGGUUCUCUAAAAACAGUCACUAUUAUUAUAUUAGAAAUUAUUUGUUGGGAUUUUAUAUCUUUAUUUAGUCACAUGUUGUUUUUGUUUUUUUUGUUUUAUAUAUUACCAGUCACAUUACAUAAUUAUACACUUAUUGUCUAUUGUAUAACUGAUAUAUUGCAUGAAUUAUAUACAAUAAAGAGUAUGC